UCGUCAUGGUAGUAUGUAUCAUCGACCUCCUCUUCAAUUUUGUUCACUUCUCCUAAUUCAUGCGCCCAUGCGGUCAAGCUCCGCCCCUUGACUCUCUCGAACGUGGCCGCUUCCAUCCCCUUGGUGACUUUCCUACCUAUUUUUGAUAGACUAAUCUUUUUUGUGCCGUCAAGAGUGCAUCAGAUUAUUUGUGUUAUGAGUUUGUCAUCUAAACGGGGUUGGUAAGUUGUGAUGGGGUAAUCACUUGUCAAGAAGUAACUCGUGCCUGCUGUGAUGAUAGCAGGACGAAAUUGAACAUGCUAUGUGAAAUUUAAAAUGCUUAUGCUAAGGCCUCAUAUUAUGAGAAUUUGUCCUGCAGCGUCUGCCAUAAAGCUAGCAUGGCUGCGACCUCAGCAUCUAGCUACUUGCAAUUUUUCUUCAGCUUGUAGUUUGGGUGCUGGCUAGAUGGUAAUUUUUUUGUCUAAGUUCUUCUAUUGUUUCCUUAUUUUCAGGGAUAUGCCAAUAUUCAAUCCCAAAGAAAGGUAUUUGUCUCCAACUAGUGUAGUUUCUUCAUGUUGUAUCCUUAAAUUGAAGCACAACUAAUUCUUUAGCUCAAGAGUUCAAUAUUUUUGUUGUAGGGAUCCAGGUGAGGCCUCACCUUGUAAGUCCGCUCUACCUGCUGUCAUCAAUGACGAUGAACUCCAUCAAAACAUACUAUAUUUUUCUCUGCAGAAUUCCUGUUUUGUGAGUCAACUUUGGUUCUAUGGCUUGAUGCCUUAUCAAACUCAUUGGAUUUUUCUUGCCCUUUUUUAGGGAAGCUAUGGGAGAAAGAAUUUGUUCUAGAAUAUAGGUUUGUACCACACUACAUGAUGUGCAAAUCUCACUGCAAAUAACUUGUAUUGUUCAGAAAAGUCCUUGUUCUGUUACUUAGAGUCAUACCUAUAGAGCUAGUGCUCCUCCGAACAUUCUUGUAAUGUUAGUACCUAAUGUAGAUCCUGGAGGUGCUGCUAAAAUUUCCUACUAGAGAUAGAAGAAAUGAUUUCUGGGAUUUCUGUUUGUUUAGAGUGCAUAUGUGACUUUCCUAUCAUCCAGGUAUGGAUUUAAAGUAGAUAUACGUAUACCUCAUGUUGGAGUUGAACUAAAUACUUGACAUACUUCUUGUAGAGUUUCCUAUCAAUUUUGAGCUGCUUGUGUGCCACCAUUGAUUUUCACAUAAAAAUUAUGAAAUUAUGUCAUUAAUUUUCAGGUAGAAAUUAUAUCACCAAAGGCAUCCCAGGCAUGCCACUUUUCACAGUUGAAAAAACAUGAUAAUCUUUUAGUGCUCAGCAAAUGUAUUGAUGAAUUUCCACAAUUAGUAAUGCAAAUUAGCGGCUGCUUCACUGUUCUUGUUUCCUUUUGCAAUCUGCAAGGAACUCAAAAGACAGUUGUACAUUUGCUCACCUGCAUCAUGGUCCAUAUAUUGUUUGGGCAAUGUAGAACGUCAGAACUUGCAGUUUUUGUACAGGUUUGGAUAGAAAUUCAUCAAUACAUUUUUUGAGGACUAAAAUCUUAUCAAUCAAUUGGAUGCUGAAUUUUGUAAUUCAGGAAUAGACGACCCUCUCCAUGCAAAAUAAAGUGUAGUUAGCUCUCAUAUGAACGUGUUUCUAUAUCUUCUGCCUCUGUUAUGCAUGGAUCUAACUAGAAGCUUCAAUUAGUUGACAGGCCAUUAUCUUCAGUUUGAGAUUCAUGAUGUUACUACUUGUUCUAUACAGAUAAAAGAAAUUUAUGUGUAUAUGGGUAUAUCCAGUUUUUACCUUAAAUAUUACGCCCUCCAUUCCUAAAUAUAAGCCUUUUUAGAUUCCAAUAUGGACUACAUAAAUCUUGAAAAAGACUUAUAUUUAGAAACGGAGGGAGUAGGUUUCUUUUCAACCUUAGAUGUUGGUACUAGAAUAAUUCUUAUUUCCAUUUUUCUGGCUGGGUUGUUGUCUUUAGAAUACCAUUUUCUGCCUAGAAUGUUUUCACUAAAGGAAAUUUUAAUGGAAAACACCACAGUUUCAUUUCUUACUCCAGUUAUAUAUGUGUUGAUUUCUUGCUUGAAACUGUUGGGCAUUCAUAUUACCAAAGCUUCAGAUGUUUGACCCAUCAGCAUUGUGCUAUAGGGGUUUCAUGCAUGUUACUUAGCAUAAGAUGAGAUGAGUACCCUUUCAUUUUAGGUGCUAACUAAAUAAAGUGAUUCAGUAUGAACUAAUAUAGUGCAUGGGGGUUCUACAGAUGCAGCAGCAUCAAGGACUACGCUGGGAGGAAGCACAUGGUGUUGUAUUGCGGUAAUGCCGGGAUCAUGCAUGUCACCUAUGAGAACAAGCACAACCACAAGCACGUGCAGUAGCUCAACCUGUCGAUGAUCGCCGCGAAUUCAGAAGCCCAACUGAAGCUGCCAGUGCCAUAAGAAGUUGAAGAACUCUAAAUUUUUACGCCAUGAAUUGAACAUGUCAUUCAACUCUUCUUUGGUGAUUCACUCUGACAAAUAGCAAAAAUUGUAACAAUAAGGCAAAGAUUUCACCGUAAUCUUUUUCAUGAUGUAUAGUGAAUACUUGAUUGGGGUGCAAUGCAUUUACCUUUUGAAAUAUUCUAUCGAUAAAAUUGUUCCAUGUGAGAGCUUGUUGAAUUUCCUUGUAGAAGUACCACUGGAAAUUUGUUCUAAUUUGUGUAUGUUUUUCAGCAGAUUGUGAUAGGCUUGUCAACAAGUAUCUUUGUUGAGUGUAUCCAAGAAAAAUCGUGUUUAUUUCUUGGAUUAUUAAGAUAUUCUUCCUGUUUGUAUCUUCC
rnacentral:lncRNA from 1 species